AUUUGAGUCGGUAUUAAGUGUUUCGUGUUCGACCUAGAAGGUCGAGGAUUAAUAAGGUUGUCGCGUUUUAGGGAGUAAUAGCACCGCAUAGGCGAUCUUCUUUUAGAUCGGCGCGGGAUGGGCCAAGCGGUGUCCCUGGGCAAUUUGAGGCGAUCGGAGACUUGGAACUUCGCGAGUUUUGGCGGCCCUUGUGACCUUUGAGAAAUUAACGGAAUCCUCGUCGUGUUAGAUCACUUUUAGUCAAAUUGACCAAAGUGCGUCGAGAGAUGUAGUUGGACAAAGUCCAAUUGAUAUUCCAAAAAUGUUGGAAGGGUUAGAAUUAAGUUCUAAGAGAGUUUGAAUAGUUUUAGCAUUGCUUGACGCGAAUUGGAGUCGAAGCGGUGCAAAAAUCGAAAUUCUGGAACAUGUGUUACCGAUUUAACGCCAGGGGUGUACCGGUAUAGCAUGGUUGUAACGAAGUGAAUUCUCGAGAGCCGAGAGUUGGACUUCGUCCAAGAUCGACUAGUUGUCGAGUGGGUAUGUAACAUACCGAAAUUUCGGUAACCA
rnacentral:lncRNA from 1 species